UACGUAGGGUGCAAGCGUUACUCGGAAUCAUUGGGCGUAAAGCGCAUGUAGGCGGCUUUGUAAGUCUGAUGUGAAAUCCCUGGACUCAAUCCAGGAAGUGCAUUGGAUACUGCGAAGCUAGAGUACAGGAGAGGUGGAUGGAAUUCCUGGUGUAGAGGUGAAAUUCGUAGAUAUCAGGAGGAACAACAGAGGCGAAGGCGAUUCACUGGACUGUAACUGACGCUGAGAUGCGAAAGUGUGGGGAGCAAAC
rnacentral:rRNA from 1 species